GUACGGGGAGGCAGGCGUGCGCAUGCGCACCAAAGGAGGGAACGCGCGCGCUUUCCGCCGGGUGGCUGAGGCAGCAAAGAUGCGCAUGCGUGGCAAAUAAGAGGGCGGUUUCCGUGGCGUCUACGUUGUGGGGAACAAAAGUGCGCAUGCGAGCAAAACGAGGAAAGGGGCUCCUUAGUGUGGGUGGGGAGGGGAAGCAGAGGUACGCAUGCGCAUCGAACGAUACGCUUGUUUUCUGGUGUGAGGCAAGAGUCCGCGCCGAACGAGGGGAAGGUUUCCGCUGUGUGGAGAGAGCAGAGAAGAAUGGACCGCUUUGUCACGAAGAAGUCUAUAUCCGAGGUAAGACUCAGAAACAAGGUCCUGAAGAGCCCCACAAGACUUUCAACACGGUUUGGCUCCUAGGAUUACGUGGGUAGCCUCCCUGAUGGCUGUUUUCUCCCUCACAGGAAGGCCCUUCAGGAGCUGCUACUCCAAGAAAGCAGAGGAGAAAGCAGCCAAGCGACAGCAGCCGCCUUCCUGAAGAGCCAAAGGCCCUGCGUAGCCCUUGCGGGAAAAGCAAAAAGGGCAAAGGGUAUUUCAGGAAGUUUUCGCCCAAGUGGCUCAAGGAGCCCGGAUUCCAAGGAUGGCUGGAGAAAUCCGCCAAGAAAUCCGGAUGCCACGAAAUGGCCCAUUGCCUGGCGUGCGGCAUCCACAUCACGGCCCACAGGAGCGACAUCCACAAACACGGUUUGACCAGGAAACACGUCCUUCGUAUGAGAAAGAUGAAAGAAAGCGUCGAUCUGAAAGAAACGGCCACCCAGUCAAUUCUCCAGCAGCAAAAGAGCACAGAGGCGGCGCUGGCUGGCUUUUUAGCCGAGCAGAAUUGGCCUUUGCGAGCGAUGGACGCUCUGCUCGAACUCCUUCCGAAUAUGCUCCCCGACUCAAAGAUAGCUCAGGGGUUAAAUAAAGAAACCGUAAUGUCUUUGGCGGCUGCCAAAAAAGACACAGAUGUUCCGGGUUCAAACCCUCGCCAGCCAUGUUGAAAGCAAAGAAUCGGAAAUAGGUUUAACUUACAUUAAUCAACAAAACCAAAGGGUUAUUACUGUUAUUUUUAUAAGACUGAUGUCUAAUUUUUGUUACUUUGUUGAAACUGGUUUUUAUUUCAAAACUACACUUUUCCCCUUGAAAGUAACACGCAUCGGUCAAUGAGGUAAAUUGUAAGCAUAACAAACCUUAUCCAAAAAACCAGUUUCAAUUCUCAUGAAGCCCAAUUGUUCAGGUUGAAAACAUAUAAGCAAUGACGUUUAUUUGUAAUGUGUUAGGAGUUUGCAUUGUAUGCUAGCCUGUUAUCAUUCAUUGUUGUGUAUAAAACAAUGUUGCAUUGCUUUUAAAGCAAUUUCAUGUUGGUGAUAUAUCCUAAUAAUGGUUUUU